rnacentral:rRNA from 1 species
UAGCAUAAUAAAUUGUUUUUUAAUUGAAAACUGGAAUGAAAGGUUAAACAAUUUUUAAGUUUAUAUAUUUUAAUUUAUGAAUUUUUAUUAUAAGUAAAAAUACUUAUAUUAUAUAAAGGGACGAUAAGACCCUAGAAGCUUUAGUUUAUUUAAUUGCAAAAUAGUUUUAUUUAAAAUUUGUUUGAUGUGAAACUUUGAUUGGGGAAAUAAUAAUUUUAUAAAUAAUUAUUAAUAAAAUAUAUAAGUUUUUUAAUGAUCUUUAAUAUAAGAAUGGAUAGGAUUAGUUACUCUAGGGAUAACAGCGUGAUAAUUUUGGAUAGACCUUAUAUAUAAAAUUGAUUACGACCUCGAUGUUGAAUUAAAAUAUCUUUAUAAAGUAGAAAUUAUGGAAGAAGGUUUGUUCAACCUUUAAUAUUUU